rnacentral:rRNA from 1 species
CGUAGGUGGCAAGCGUUGUCCGGAUUUAUUGGGUUUAAAGGGUGCGUAGGCGGCUUUGUAAGUCAGUGGUGAAAUAUGGCAGCUCAACUGUCAGGGUGCCAUUGAUACUGCGGAGCUUGAGUACAGAUGAGGUAGGCGGAAUUGACGGUGUAGCGGUGAAAUGCUUAGAUAUCGUCAAGAACACCGAUAGCGAAGGCAGCUUACUGGGCUGUAACUGACGCUGAGGCACGAAAGUGUGGGGAUCAAACAGGAUUAGAUACCCUGGUAGUCCACACUGUAAACGUUGAUGACUCGCUGUUGGCGAUACACGGCCAGCGGCAGAGAGAAAUCGUUAAAGUCAUCCACCUGGGGAGUACGCCGGCAACGGUG